UGUCCAGAAACCAAUGUGUUAUCGCACGAUGCAGACGACUCAUACAACGACAACAUCAUACUAUUAUAAAUCAAAAAAAAAGUUUUGUGGUUGUUUAAAAACACAAUCCAUAAUAUUGUUGCAUAAUCUCCCAUCCCCUUAAAAUAUGGAUCAUCUCAUUUUAUCACAAUCACUGGUUUGCAAUAAGGACUGGUACCUUUAUUAUUUUUUUUUUAUUUUUUUUUUUUUAAAUUUGACAACAACAACAAAAUGUGUACAAAAGUUUAACAGUUUAACAGGUUUUCUCUUAAACAAUAGCUUAAAAAGACCCAUAUUAUUUAUUUUAAAGAUUUUAU
rnacentral:lncRNA from 1 species